rnacentral:siRNA from 1 species
AACCAAGAGAUGCUCUAAACCC